rfam:Triticum aestivum genome assembly, contig: Triticum_aestivum_CS42_TGACv1_scaffold_342769_4DL
UGGCAAUGGUUUGAAUUUUACCCGUGCUUCUGAUUAAUUCAUGACGUACAAGGGAAACAUGGUUGAAUUUCUGAAUACGAGCCA